rnacentral:lncRNA from 1 species
GAGUGUCUUUACCUCCUGAGAAAGUAUAAAUGUAAUUAGCUUCUGUUUUAUAGUUUUAGUAACUUAAUUCUUGCUAUAAGUAUUUUGUAUUUUAAACAUUUCCUACCUAGUAAAGGAAACAAAAACUGAAGGAACUGAAUAGCUGAUAAUCAAUGUUGUACAUUGAGUGUCACUUCUAGAAAGGAAUUUUCUCAUCUCUUUUUGUGAAGUUUCUAGACAUGAGCCAUACCUAAAAUCAGUUUUUGAAGAUUUCCUUAAAAUUCUCUUUCAGCAUGGGGACAAUGAAAAGAGCUUCUUUCUUUGGAGUCUGAAGAGCCCAAGAACUAAACAAGUCCAGGUCUGGUGCAUUAUCCACUGCCCACUAGGACUACAAUAUUGUAAAGAAAACUAACUUUGAACAACUUAAGAAUUCUGAUCAAUAUAGCAUCCAAUUAUGACUUCAGAGGACUAAAGUUAAAAUAUUCUUUCCACCACUUGACAAAGACUUGUUGGACUAAAGGUGCAUAAAAAGAUAAUACAUUUUUGGAUCAUGGAUAAUGUGAAGAUUUUUUUUUGACAGAAUAUGCUAACUUGUUACAAUGGGGAAGGGGGCAUUUUAAGGGGAAGAUAAUCAUAGAAGAGAGCUAGUGAUAACAAUGGCACAAAAAAAAACAUUAAAAGACAAUUUCAAAAAGUUAGAAAAGUGGGGGCAGUUGAGUGGCUCAGUGGAUUGAAAGCCAGUCCCAGAGACAGGAAGUCCUGGGUUCUAAUGUGACCCUAGCUGUGUGACCCUGGGCAAGU